rnacentral:rRNA from 1 species
CGGACGGGUGAGUAAUGCCUAGGAAUCUGCCUGGUAGUGGGGGACAACGUUUCGAAGGGAAUGCUAAUACCGCAUACGUCCUACGGGAGAAAGCAGGGGACCUUCGGGCCUUGCGCUAUCAGAUGAGCCUAGGUCGGAUUAGCUAGUUGGUGAGGUAAUGGCUCACCAAGGCGACGAUCCGUAACUGGUCUGAGAGGAUGAUCAGUCACACUGGAACUGAGACACGGUCCAGACUCCUACGGGAGGCAGCAGCC